UAGAAUCUACUUUCCUUUGGGUUGUUUGGGGUUCCGCGGUUUCGUCUGCCUGUUUUUUUAUCUAGUUUCUCCUUCCGUCCUGACGGUACACUGCUCACAAACGCAAGUGAGUGCAGGAUAGACUUGGUUGAUAAUUGAGCCGCUCAGAAGUAGUAUAUUCCGCCUUUGAUGAGUGGAACAAAAUCACUGCUGAUGUACGGUCGCCUUAAUUUGUUGUCCCCAUCUCAUACCCCCUCAAUAUAUAAGAAUCACCAAGAGAAAAAAAGACGAACCGAUCUACCCUGUAAAAAAACUGUUCAUGGCGAACGGAGAGCUAUCUCGGAUUUCUCGGUGUUUUUAUUAUCAAAAGGCUGACUAGUCUCUGUGGUACAAAAGCCCAUCCUCCUGGCCAAGUCCGUUCACCCGAUUGGUAAAAUGGCUUUUGAAUAUUAAAUGAGUUUUUAAAAUUAGAACAGUUUGUUAUUAUGGGUGUUAGUUUUUUUUCUUCUAAAUAUGCCGUCCUUACACACAGCGUCAUACAAACUCGCGC